GCUGUCUUUGGAUACAUAAAAUAGUGGAGAAUCACCAUGAAGUUGAAUAAAUUUCAUAGGAGUUAGGGUGAAGAAGUUAUCCCACUUUCAAAUCAGGUGAUCCCAGUUAUCCUGUUUGGGAAUAUGACAACUUCUUCGUCAUUCUAAUCAAACCAGGAUGAAUCACCAAGAAGUUGAAUAAAUCUCAUAGGAGUUAGGAUGAAGAAGUUAUCCCAUUUUCAAAUCAGGUGACCCCAGUUUUCCUGUUUGGGAAUAU
rnacentral:lncRNA from 1 species